rnacentral:rRNA from 1 species
UACGUAGGGUGCGAGCGUUAAUCGGAAUUACUGGGGGUAAAGCGUGCGCAGGCGGUUCGUUGUGUCGGUGGUGAAAUCCCCGGGCUUAACCUGGGAAUGGCCAUGGAAACUGGCGAACUGGAGUGCGGCAGAGGGGGGUGGAAUUCCGCGUGUAGCAGUGAAAUGCGUAGAGAUGCGGAGGAACACCGAUGGCGAAGGCAGCCCCCUGGGCUAGCACUGACGCUCAGGCACGAAAGCGUGGGGAGCAAACAGG